AAAAUGUUGGUUAAAGCAAAAAAAAAAAAAAAAAAAAAAAAUUUUUUUUUUUUUUAAUGACCCAUACAUUCUAUUUUAGUUAGGAUUCAUUUUUGCUGCAAGCAACAGAAACACAAAAUAACAGCAACCUAAACAAGAUAGAAGGUUAUUACUUUUUCAAGUGAAAAGUCUAGCAGUUGGUGAUCCAGAGUUAUUAUGGCCCCCCAAAACAUCCUGGGUGUAGAUGCCUUCUUUAUCUUCUUGUGUGGCCACCAAUGACCUUUAUUCCCAGUUUCAGUUCUAGCAAUCAUGCCUCCAUUGCAAAAGCAAAGAAGAAAAGGAGGAAGACAAAGGUAUACUCAAACCCAUGACGUUUUCCUAGAGCUGCACACACCAUUCUCCUUUCAUUUCAUCCUCAGAAAUGCUGAGAUGGUAACACUUAGCUAGCUACAAGGCUAAUGGAAAACAUUGACUACUUCAGGCAAUCAUGUGCCCAACUCAAAAUCAGAUUUUUUCAUAUUUAUCUUUUCCUCAGACUAUAACUUAUCCGUGUGCACCACCCUGAACAGAGCUUUGCAUACAUUAGGUUUUCAGUAACCGACUGAAUGGCUAAUGCAGACGCUAGACAAUGUCCCCUUCACAUGAAGUGACCUUUUGGUUCAACUUGAUAUAAACGUUCACAAAAUUUGAAAUUACUGAGCUCUGCCAUCAAGAAAAAUACUCUCUAAUACCUGAUCGAAUAUCAGUGGACAGUUAAUAUUGUAAAUGCUACUGGUCCCAGACACACUGACAAAUCCAGGUAAUCAGGGUUAAAUUACAUCUGCAAAGCAGGUAGCAAAUCAUAGUACUCAGAUUCCUAGUAUGCCAUGGCAUGAUGAGAAUUCUAGGAGGCUUUGGGUUCACUAGAAUAUUGACUUAAAUUUAGAAUAUAUGGACUAUCAACCUAUUUGAUUGCCCUAAGGGAUAGCUUAAGUCUAAGAAGUGCCUGGUGAUGCUCUCUGUUCCCUGGAAUAUACAUCAAAGGACCAUUUAAAAGACUGUAAAAUCUUACCCAGAUUAUAUCGACCUGCUAAUUUGGUAUCUUCUUUUCUCUCCUGCCUCAAGCAAUUUACCCUUAUUCUUUUUCAACCCAUAAGAGGAUCUGUGUAUUCUACAUUCUUCAAGACCUGGAAGCUUAUCUAUACAUAUAGAUAAGAUCUCAUAAAGCGUAAGGUGGUGUAACCUAAGGUGCUGGAGGAGGGAGUCAGUAGAUACCUUAGAAUGGCCCCUUUCAUCCUGAUCACAAGGAGUGGGACAUUAACAUGGAUCUAUGCUCUUCUCCAGCAGCUGGACCCAGGGUAACUUCUGAGAAAUGCUGACCUCUGCACUGACUUUAUGCAGAGAUGAAAGAAAUGUGUGUGCGUCUUAAAAGCAGUGAUUAAAGAUUUGUCCGACUUUC